UGGGGAAUAUUGCACAAUGGGCGCAAGCCUGAUGCAGCCAUGCCGCGUGUGUGAAGAAGGCCUUCGGGUUGUAAAGCACUUUCAGCGGGGAGGAAGGCGUUAAGGUUAAUAACCUUGGCGAUUGACGUUACCCGCAGAAGAAGCACCGGCUAACUCCGUGCCAGCAGCCGCGGUAAUACGGAGGGUGCAAGCGUUAAUCGGAAUUACUGGGCGUAAAGCGCACGUAGGCGGUCUGUCAAGUCGGAUGUGAAAUCCCCGGGCUCAACCUGGGAACUGCAUGCGAAACUGGCAGGCUAGAGUCUUGUAGAGGGGGGUAGAAUUCCAGGUGUAGCGGUGAAAUGCGUAGAGAUCUGGAGGAAUACCGGUGGCGAAGGCGGCCCCCUGGACAAAGACUGACGCUCAUGUGCGAAAGCGUGGGGAGCAAACAGG
rnacentral:rRNA from 1 species